rnacentral:rRNA from 1 species
GGCUGGAUCAUUAUCGAGCAAAAUGAAAAACUUGUGGUACCUUCGUGGUGCCUUGUGGCAGGAUAAUACCCGGUACAUUUGCUUGAUGUACGUCUGGGUGCCACAGUGACCAACGGCUACGGUUGGUGUCUACCCUUCGCCGAGCGGAUGUUGCCUGUGACCGUGUCCGUGUUGAGGCGUUGGGGUUGCGCAUACGUCCCGGCCCGAAAGGGUACGGGGGUAGCGGAUGCGAAGACUCAAUGAGGCCCAAUCUGGGGCUCGCCAACCAAACCUCUUUUUCUAACGAUUUUUCUUAAAUCGAAGACAUUAUCAGUCCUAUCGGUGGAUCACUCGGUUCGUGGAUCGAUGAAGAACGCAGCAAACUGCGAUAAGUAGCGUGAAUUGCAGACGCUUUGAACGUUAAACUUUCGAACGCACAUUGCGCCGUAGGAGUCCUACCCUACGGCACAUCUGGUUGAGGGUCGUGAUCAAAAACAGCCAGCAAGUUGCUGUUAAUGUAACGAACUAGUGAAUCACAAGUUCGGCCAACCUGUACUCAGGUCGAAUGUGGUUUGCUAUCAUGUAAUAGAGGAUAGUGGCCUAGCCUUUCGGGGCUGGGACCCUACCUGCCACACGGAUGGGCCAACGACUGAGGCAUAGACCUCGGUUCUUGGGUAUCGUACUAGGUGUAAGCCUAAAAUACUCAGGGACGUCAGAGGUACAGUCGUUGGACCUAUACGUGCCUGGUGUAGUAGCGAAAAUCGCUUUCCCGACCUCAACUCA